AGAGUUUGAUCCUGGCUCAGAUUGAACGCUGGCGGCAUGCCUUACACAUGCAAGUCGAACGGCAGCACGGGAGCAAUCCUGGUGGCGAGUGGCGAACGGGUGAGUAAUAUAUCGGAACGUGCCCAGUCGUGGGGGAUAACGCAGCGAAAGCUGUGCUAAUACCGCAUACGAUCUAUGGAUGAAAGCGGGGGAUCGCAAGACCUCGCGCGAUUGGAGCGGCCGAUAUCAGAUUAGGUAGUUGGUGGGGUAAAGGCCCACCAAGCCGACGAUCUGUAGCUGGUCUGAGAGGACGACCAGCCACACUGGAACUGAGACACGGUCCAGACUCCUACGGGAGGCAGCAGUGGGGAAUUUUGGACAAUGGGCGCAAGCCUGAUCCAGCAAUGCCGCGUGCAGGAUGAAGGCCUUCGGGUUGUAAACUGCUUUUGUACGGAACGAAACGGUCCUUUCUAAUAUAAGGGGCUAAUGACGGUACCGUAAGAAUAAGCACCGGCUAACUACGUGCCAGCAGCCGCGGUAAUACGUAGGGUGCGAGCGUUAAUCGGAAUUACUGGGCGUAAAGCGUGCGCAGGCGGUUAUGUAAGACAGAUGUGAAAUCCCCGGGCUCAACCUGGGACCUGCAUUUGUGACUGCAUAGCUAGAGUACGGUAGAGGGGGAUGGAAUUCCGCGUGUAGCAGUGAAAAUGCGUAGAUAUGCGGAGGAACACCGAUGGCGAAGGCAAUCCCCCUGGACCUGUACUGACGCUCAUGCACGAAAGCGUGGGGGAGCAAACAGGAUUAGAUACCCCUGGUAGUCCACG
rnacentral:rRNA from 1 species